UUACCCUAAUCUCCUCACACACAACGGCUGCCAUCAAACAACAUCUCAUGCUCCUUUCUCCUUGUUCUCUUUAGUCUGCGGCAUCCCUCUGUUACCACUAACUUCUUGACAUUGCAGAUACAACCUAGAAGACUGUCACACACCAUUUUUCCCCCAUUCACCCUCACAACGUCAACCAUAUGUUCUUCCUACUCAACUAGAUGACCAAUGCGUUGGAAAUCAUCUACCGGUACCGGAUUCUGCUAUCCCCUGUAUUAUAAACACUGCCAUUUCCUCUCUCUACAAGAAACCCUAACCUUAAACCUAAUUUGCCUCCACCAUCUCCACCGGACUCCGACAACAUCACACACCAUUCAGCAAAAGUAAACCCUAAAUCAGGAACCAGCAACGCACCACCACCUGUCUCCACCAGACAUCCACCUCGAAACCCCACACAAUCCAUCUUUAUCUCUAUCUCUCUAUAAUCCCUUAAUCUAAAGACGUGAUUGUCUCCUCAAAUUUCUCCAAUUUUGAACAACAAACAAUGGGGUUUUUCACUACCCAUUUCCAUGAGUUGAAAAGUCUCUUAUCAAUUUGUGCUAAUAUUAAUGCAAAAUCAGAAAAAUCUUCCCUUUACUUGACGUUAUUACAACUCCCAAAACAUUCGACUACUUAUCCUUCCCUCUUUCAAUCACUGACUGAGGAAAUGCCUUCAAGUGUAUGGGAUUCAUGAUUUACCAUCCCUCCAUUAUUACUGGUAUUUUGUCUAAUUGCAAUAUUGUGUGAUAGGUAAUGGAUGGGUGUACAUUAUGCUAUUUUUUUUGUCUUAAUGCAUUAAGUUGUUAUGUUUUGAUCAAGUGUCUAGAAUUUAAUGGUGUUGCGAUGCCAAUGGUCAUAAUUCAUGUACGAGGCUGGCAGAUUUACCUCAAGAAGCCAAUGCAAAAAUCCAAUCCAACUUAGAUCAUUACAAGGAGCAAAUGGUUGAUUGGUAUGAACCAUUACAAGAAGAAAGCGAAGAAUUUGUAGGAGGGGAAAGAAAAGGUACAUCAAAGUCCUCAUGAAAUUUACAUAAUUUAGUGUGUUAGCCACCUUCAAUUUAUUUCAUGGAGAAAUUUCAAAAAGAGUAUAAAUCCCAUCUUUUUUUUCCAACUUUGCUAGUUUUGCUAAUAAUAUAAAAUGCUAUGAGUAUUGGUUGCAGAAGACUAAAUUGAAAAAUGCGUGUAAAGCAACAUCAUCAACAAUAAGGACAACAAACGAUGUGUAAUCAUCCUUUCCAUUUUUAGGCUUAAAAACAGUAAUAGUAAGAUUGCAGAUGAAGAGUUUCUACUAAAUAGGCGAGCUUCAUCGUAAAUUAAUAAAGGUAGAAAGGGUCAAGAGCUUCUUCCCUUCAAAUUUUAUCUUCUUGGACUACAAUUUCAAAUGAAUUUCAAAGCAUUAUUGUAUACUUAGCGAUUGACUUAGUCUGGUUUUAACCAAUUAAUAUGUCUAUGGAUAUAUUCUUUAGUUUAUCUUGAGUAUGUGAGGUAUUGAUUUGGUUUGGUUGUCUUUAGAUUUAGGGGAUAAGAUGAGGAUUUGGAUGAUGUAAACCCCUUGUGAUAUAAUCAAAUUGAACAUUGAAGGGUCAACCAUACUAGCAUCAAGGCAAAAGCAAGAAUAUACGACUCAGUUUCAAAGGUUAACCAUGGAUUAUAUCCUCAUUUUAUAACAAAAAUAUGUUAUAUCAGACCUAAGAAACAAAAAAAUGGUUAGCAAGGUUGGAAGGUUCUUUUGACAGUUAGUCAGUUAGACACAAAACUGAAAUAUGUGAUAGUUCACAUAUCAAAUUGUUAGUUAUUAUGUUUUUAUUGUUGUUAAAGUCACAAGUUUUAAAUAAUUUGUGGGUUGUCAAACAUGAUAAGGUAAAGAAACUCUAACCUAAAGUAAUAUUGAACGAUCACAUAUAUCAUUUUGUGUAUUUACCAUUUUUUUCCUCUUUUCUCAUAUGCUGUGUUUUGCUUAGUUUUAUGUUGCUAUUUUUUAUACAAGACAAGUUUAGUUCACAUGAUUGUUGUGUGAAUGGAGACAUGUUUUUUAGGAACAAGCAAAAGAUAAAGCAUCACCACAUACUCAUGUUUCAUAUCACUUCAGGCGUUGGUACACAUUCAAUGGGAUAGCUUAAGAUCAUAUAAUUUUUAAUAUAUUUUUUUGGGUUUGGCAAUGGAACAUGAAGAUGGAUGGGUGGUGAGAACCGGAAGGUUACGAAGGGCAAACGUGGGAAGAGUUUUCAAUAUUAAUGCCUACAACUCAAUAUGAACAUAUUUCUAAACUUUUGAGGAGCAAGGAGGCUUUUAAAAGUCCUUAAAACAAGGGGAUUUGAAUAAAUGCCCGAAAGAUGAUUAUCCUUUGAAGGUUUUCAUUGUUAAGUCUUUUAAAGAAGAAAAAUACAUCAAUACCCUCAACCCCAAGCUAGGAAAAGUUGUUUAUGGACACAUUGUGUGUACUUUGAAAUAUCACUUGUUUUCGAAAUAAAGAUUAUUUUCCGCA